CGGAGACGCCAAAGUGCAAAUUUGGAGACGCACCCCAAGAGGUGCCGGGGCUUCUCCCGUUUUAAGAGAGACGGGAGAAGA
rnacentral:tRNA from 1 species